rnacentral:rRNA from 1 species
GCCUGAUGGAGGGGGAUAACUACUGGAAACGGUAGCUAAUACCGCAUAACGUCGCAAGACCAAAGAGGGGGACCUUCGGGCCUCUUGCCAUCGGAUGUGCCCAGAUGGGAUUAGCUAGUAGGUGGGGUAACGGGCUCACCUAGGCGACGAUCCCUAGCUGGUCUGAGAGGAUGACCAGCCACACUGGAACUGAGACACGGUCCAGACUCCUACGGGAGGCAGCAUG